GGCGAGUGAAGMGGGAAAAGCUCAAAUUUUGAAUCUGGCGUCUUUGGCGUCCGAGUUGUAAUCUAGAGAAGUGUUUUCCGUGGCGGACCGUGCAUAAGUCUCCUGGAAUGGAGCGUCAUAGAGGGUAAGAAUCCCGUGUAUGGCAUGGACUACCGUUACUCUGUGAUACACUCUCAACGAGUCGAGUUGUUUGGGAAUGCAGCUCUAAAUGGGUGGUAAAUGCCAUCUAAAGCUAAAUAUUGGCGAGAGACCGAUAGCGAACAAGUACCGUGAGGGAAAGAUGAAAAGCACUUUGGAAAGAGAGUGAAACAGUACGUGAAAUUGUUGAAAGGGAAACGCUUGAAGUCAGGCGCACCCUCGGGGAUUCAGCCUUGCUUCUGCUUGGUUUACUUCGCCUUGGGUGGGUCAACGUCAGUGUUGGUCAGAGGAAAAAGACUUGGGGAAGGUAGCAGCAUUUAUGCUGUGUUAUAGCCUCUUGUUGUAUACUUUGACUAGAACUGAGGACCGCAGCGCGCCUUUACGGCCGGGGCUUGCCCACGUACGCGCUUAGGAUGUUGACAAAAUGGCUUUAAGUGACCCGUCUUGAAACACGGACC
rnacentral:rRNA from 1 species